UUUUUCGAACUGAGGAUUGAGGUUCUCUAUUUGCCUCUCUCUUCCAGCGUCCUUCUUCCUUCUUUCUUCUUGGUCCAUAGUUAAUCUUUGGCGCUCAGAUUAUUUGCUUCUUUUUUUUUCUUCUUUUGUUGUCAUUUUUCUUCUUUCUCUAUCUUUUACUUCCUCUUCUCUCCUCCAGUCGCUCUCACCCUCAAAAACCAGAUCGAAAAACAUACCAAACACCAAACAACCAAAUCUGAAUCGUACCUUCGCCAUCCUUUUCGUCAUCCUUCUCUCUCAGCCUCUCACAUCCUGCUUCAUUUCCUAUGAAACCAAUCUUGGCCCAAAAUCCGUAAUACCCAAAUCAAAAAACCUAACACCUCAGCCCCAAAUACCUCCUCCAAUCUCACGUGCUCUCUCGACUUCUUGCUAAUGCUUAGCAAUCAGUUGCUUGUCACACUCGAUUUCUGUUUAGCAAUCGAAAUCUUGUCGCUCGUUAGGUUGCAGAGGUCUUCGUUUUGAGUUAUAUUUGCAGGUCUCCCGUUUGUUGCAUUUGCGUUUGGGUCUUAAAGGACAGUGACUAAGAAGAAGUUGAGGCAGAAGAUAUUGAACCUGACAAGUACAUUUAGAUAUGGCACUUCCAGUGUUUAUUUUUGAUCGAAUGACGUACUUCAGUUUAUUUCUGACCCACGUCUUCUCGAUUACACAAUUAAGUUUCAGAAUUACUAUAUUGUACCCUAGCUAGCCCAGAGGUUUUGGAGUCGAGGAACCGGGGUAGGCCACCAUGGGAGCAAAGACGGGUAGAUGAAUUCGUAUAAACGAUGGCGUAUACCCUGUGUGACUAUCUCUAACAUUCCUCCACGAAGGUUGCACGUGAAAGAAGUCUCCAAGGUGAGAGAAAUGCACUAUAUCCUCAUUGUUUGGGUGGAAACUUCGCACCCAAACCUUGUCCGGGUUGAGCUUCUUAUGUUUGCAGGUUAUAGUAACAGGGUCGACUGACCAUUUGAAUUUGCCUUCCUUGUCCUUCCUUGACCAUUUGAGACUGUAGCAACGUUUGGACUUUGGACACACACUUGAAUCACAAAAUGAACUAAUUGCAGGGAAGCCGACAGAGGA